rnacentral:rRNA from 1 species
AGAUUGAACGCUGGCGGCGUGCUUAACACAUGCAAGUCGAGCGGUAACGCGGGAGCAAUCCUGGCGACGAGCGGCGAACGGGUGAGUAAUGCUUGGGAAUCUGCCCAUUAGUGGGGAACAACCAGCCGAAAGGUUGGCUAAUACCGCAUACGCCCUACGGGGGAAAGCGGGGGAUCGAAAGACCUCGCGCUAAUGGAUGAGCCCAAGUCGGAUUAGCUUGUUGGUAGGGUAACGGCCUACCAAGGCGACAAUCCGUAGCUGGUCUGAGAGGACGACCAGCCACACUGGGACUGAGACACGGCCCAGACUCCUACGGGAGGCAGCAGUGGGGAAUAUUGGACAAUGGGGGCAACCCUGAUCCAGCGACGCCGCGUGUGUGAAGAAGGCCUGCGGGUUGUAAGCACUUUUAGUGGGGAUGGAAAAGCUACAGGGUUAACACCUCUGGGUCUUGACCUAACCCACAGAAAAGCACCGGCUAACUCUGUGCCAGCAGCCGCGU